UACGAAGGGGGCUAGCGUUGCUCGGAUUUACUGGGCGUAAAGCGCACGUAGGCGGAUUGUUAAGUCAGGGGUGAAAUCCUGGAGCUCAACUCCAGAACUGCCUUUGAUACUGGCAAUCUUGAGUCCGGAAGAGGUGAGUGGAACUCCUAGUGUAGAGGUGGAAUUCGUAGAUAUUAGGAAGAACACCAGUGGCGAAGGCGGCUCACUGGUCCGGUACUGACGCUGAGGUGCGAAAGCGUGGGGAGCAAACAGGG
rnacentral:rRNA from 1 species